rnacentral:rRNA from 1 species
GACGAACGCUGGCGGCGUGCUUAACACAUGCAAGUCGAGCGGUAAGGCCCUUUCGGGGGUACGACGAGCGGCGAACGGGUGAGUAACACGUGGGUGACCUGCCCUCAGCUCUGGGAUAAGCCUGGGAAACUGGGUCUAAUACCGGAUAUGAUCUUCUGUUGCAUGACAGGGGAUGGAAAGUUCUUUCGGCUGGGGAUGGGCCCGCGGCCUAUCAGCUUGUUGGUGGGGUGAUGGCCACCAAGGCGACGACGGGUAGCCGGCCUGAGAGGCGACCGGCCACACUGGGACUGAGACACGGCCCAGACUCCUACGGGAGGCAGCAGUGGGGAAUAUUGCGCAAUGGGCGGAAGCCUGACGCAGCGACGCCGCGUGGGGAGUGACGGCC